UAGAGAGAGACAUGCGCGCAUAUCAAUAAGCGGAGGAAAAGAAACUAACUAGGAUUCCCUUAGUAACGGCGAGUGAAGCGGGAAGAGCUCAAAUUUGAAAUCUUCAAGGUUUUACCUUGACGAAUUGUAGUUUAAAGAAGUGUUUUCUGCUGGAGUUUUGGUAAAAGUUCUUUGGAAUAGGACAUCAUAGAGGGUGAGAAUCCCGUAUUUGACCAUUAUUUUCAGCUUUGUGAUACACUUUCAAAGAGUCGGAUUGUUUGGGAAUGCAGGUCCAAAAUGGGUGGUAAAUUUCAUCUAAAGCUAAAUAUUGGCGAGAGACCGAUAGCGAACAAGUACCGUGAGGGAAAGAUGAAAAGAACUUUGAAAAGAGAGUUAAACAGUACGUGAAAUUGUCAAAAGGGAAGCGUUUGACACCAGUGUUGUUUUCUCGAAAAUCAAUUAAAAAUGGCUCGAUUUUGUAUUGUUGAGACCUUAAAAGCUCACUGUACAUUUUUCGUGUCUUUUUUAAUGCACUUUUCGUUUAACAAGUCAACAUCAGUUUCUUUUGUUGUAAAAGGGUCAUUGGAAGGUGGCUUUCUUUUCGGAGAAAGUGUUUAUAGCCUUUGGCCUCUGCAAUCGGAGAGACUGAGGUCUGCAGCGUAGGACUCUUCGGGGUUAGAUACAUUUGUGCUAAGUUAUAGCUUUUUAUAGACAACUUGUUGACUAUAAUUAGUCUUGUAGCUUACUCGCUUAUGCUAUUUUACCUACGCUUAGGAUGUUGAGUCGUAGAGCACGCAG
rnacentral:rRNA from 1 species